UCAUGGAACAAUGGGGUCAUGGAAGAGUGGGAUCAUGGAACAAUGGGGUCAUGGAACAAUGGGGUCAUGGAACAAUGGGGUCAUGGAAAGGUGGGAUCAUGGAACACUGGGGUCAUGGAAGAGUGGGGUCAUGGAAGAGUGGGGUCAUGGAACGGUGGGGUCAUGGAACGGUGGGGUCAUGGAACGGUGGGGUCAUGGAAGAGUGGGAUCGUGAAGAGUGGGGUCGUGGAAGAGUGGGGUCGUGAAGAGUGGGGUCAUGGAAGAAUGGGGUCAUGGAAGAGUGGGGUCAUGGAAGGGUGGGGUCGUGGAAGAGUGGGGUCAGGGAAGGGAAGGACUGGGAUUGCAGAAUGAUGGAAUCACGGAGAUUAGGAUCGGGGAUUGGGUGGGAUGGCAGAAGGAUGGGAUGAAGGAAUGGGGGAAUCUUGGAAGAAUGGGGAUGGUGGAAGGAGGGGAUGGCGGGAGGAUGGAAAGACGGGAGGAUGGGAGGACAGAGGGACGGGAUGAUGGAAGGGUGGGAUGAUGGGAGGAUGGGAGGACAGAAGGACAGACGGAUGGGAUGAUAGGAGAGGAUGAUGAUGGAAAGACAGGAGGAUGGGAGGAUGGGAUGAAGGACAGGAGGACGGGAGGACAGAGGGAUGGGACGAUGGAAGGACAGAAGGACGGGAUGAUGGGGGGAUGGAUUGAUGGGAGGAUGGGAUGAAGGAAGGACAGAAGGACAGAAGGAUGGGAUGAUAGGAGAGGAUGAUGGAAGGACAGGAAGACGGGAUGAUGGGAGGACAGGAUGAUGAACGGACGGGAUGACGGAAGGACAGAAGGAAGGGAUGAAAGGAGGACGGAAAGACAGACUGAUGGGAGGACGGGAUGAUGUGAGGAUGGAAAGAUGGAAAGAAGGACAGAAGGAC
rnacentral:lncRNA from 1 species